GAUGAACGCUGGCGGCGUGCCUAAUACAUGCAAGUCGAGCGAACGGACGAGAAGCUUGCUUCUCUGAUGUUAGCGGCGGACGGGUGAGUAACACGUGGAUAACCUACCUAUAAGACUGGGAUAACUUCGGGAAACCGUAGCUAAUACCGGAUAAUAUUUUGAACCGCAUGUUUCAAAAGUGAAAGACGGUCUUGCUGUCACUUAUAGAUGGAUCCGCGCUGCAUUAGCUAGUUGGUAGGGUAACGGCUUACCAAGGCAACGAUGCAUAGCCGACCUGAGAGGGUGAUCGGCCACACUGGAACUGAGACACGGUCCAGACUCCUACGGGAGGCAGCAGUAGGGAAUCUUCCGCAAUGGGCGAAAGCCUGACGGAGCAACGCCGCGUGAGUGAUGAAGGUCUUCGGAUCGUAAAACUCUGUUAUUAGGGAAGAACAUAUGUGUAAGUAACUGUGCACAUCUUGACGGUACCUAAUCAGAAAGCCACGGCUAACUACGUG
rnacentral:rRNA from 1 species